UGUAUCUGAAGUCUGACGAGGAUGAGAACCUCCGGGGGCAAGAGGUUCGACCCGAGCGAAGCGAGAGAACGUUGCGU
rnacentral:sRNA from 1 species